rnacentral:rRNA from 1 species
UACGUAGGGUGCGAGCGUUGUCCGGAAGUAUUGGGCGUAAAGAGCUUGUAGGCGGUUUGUCGCGUCUGCCGGGAAAAUCCGAGGCUCAACCUCGGACUUGCGGUGGGUACGGGCAGACUAGAGUGUGGUAGGGGAGACUGGAAUUCCUGGUGUAGCGGUGAAAUGCGCAGAUAUCAGGAGGAACACCGAUGGCGAAGGCAGGUCUCUGGGCCACUACUGACGCUGAGAAGCGAAAGCGUGGGGAGCGAACAGG